rnacentral:rRNA from 1 species
AUUGAACGCUGGCGGCAGGCUUAACACAUGCAAGUCGAGCGGAGACUUCGGUCUUAGCGGCGAACGGGUGAGUAACACCUAGGAAUCUGCCUAUUAGUGGGGGAUAACGUGUGGAAACGCACGCUAAUACCGCAUACGUCCUACGGGAGAAAGCAGGGGAUCUUCGGACCUUGCGCUAAUAGAUGAGCCUAGGCCGGAUUAGCUAGUUGGUGGGGUAAAGGCCUACCAAGGCGACGAUCUGUAGCUGGUCUGAGAGGAUGGCCAGCCACACUGGAACUGAGACACGGUCCAGACUCCUACGGGAGGCAGCAGUGGGGAAUAUUGGACAAUGGGGGCAACCCUGAUCCAGCCAUGCCGCGUGUGUGAAGAAGGCC